UUCAGAACCUGGUUCACAGAACAAUGAAGGGAUUCCAAGCCAGAUGCGUACCUGACUUGAAUUUUUCCAAGAGUCCAUUCCUGUGGUUCCAUUCCUUGGAAAUUGGAAUGGUUGAAGCCUUUUUCUAGGACUUGGAGUCACUGAGAAGACUUAUCUGCUCAGCAGCCACUGUGCUUCCCUCAACUCAGUGAAACCCAUGCAUGCUACCAGGGCCACUCCAAGUAGAUCACAAUAUCAGUGUCGUCUGUGAGCCUGUAAGAAACGCAGGCACUUAGAUGCCACUCCAGACCUGCUGCUGCACCAGAAUCUACACUUGAAAAAGAUCCUAGGCGAUGUGUGUUUGCACACUGACGCUGAAGAGGCACUCCACAGUUUGCUGAAUAUUCAAUCGGACUCUGUCUUCAUCAUAAUGUCUUCACCUCCCACCCUGCCACCACUUCCUGCAAAUAAAAAGUUCCAGUUCCCUGAAA